CUUAUUAUGAAAUUGUUUGAAUAUUUAAAAUAAUUUAAAUUUAUGAUAAAUAUAUUCGUAGAUCCAAUAUAUCAGUAUGUAUCAGAUUCAAAACAUCAUUAGCUCGUUCAUAUUUUUAAGCAAAAGGUAACUUGAUCAUCUUGCUAAAGAGAUAGGAUUAACAGGUUAACAAUGAUUCACAAUUAUUGACUUCAAGAAUUAUCUCCUAUUGAUCUUAUUCUUGUUUAGUGAUCGAGCC
rnacentral:lncRNA from 1 species